AGUGAACGCUGGCGGUAGGCCUAACACAUGCAAGUCGAACGGCAGCACAGUAAGAGCUUGCUCUUACGGGUGGCGAGUGGCGGACGGGUGAGGAAUACAUCGGAAUCUACUUUUUCGUGGGGGAUAACGUAGGGAAACUUACGCUAAUACCGCAUCCGCCCUACGGGUGAAAGCAGGGGAUCUUCGGACCUUGCGCGAUUGAAUGAGCCGAUGUCGGAUUAGCUAGAUGGCGGGGUAAAGGCCCACCAAGGCGACGAUCCGUAGCUGGUCUGAGAGGAUGAUCAGCCACACUGGAACUGAGACACGGUCCAGACUCCUACGGGAGGCAGCAGUGGGGAAUAUUGGACAAUGGGCGCAAGCCUGAUCCAGCCAUACCGCGUGGGUGAAGAAGGCCUUCGGGUUGUAAAGCCCUUUUGUUGGGAAAGAAAAGCAGCAGGUUAAUACCCCGCUGUUCUGACGGUACCCAAAGAAUAAGCACCGGCUAACUUCGUG
rnacentral:rRNA from 1 species